rnacentral:rRNA from 1 species
GACGAACGCUGGCGGCGUGCCUAAUACAUGCAAGUGGGACGCAAGGAAACACACUGUGCUUGCACACCGUGUUUUCUUGAGUCGCGAACGGGUGAGUAACGCGUAGGUAACCUGCCUAUUAGCGGGGGAUAACUAUUGGAAACGAUAGCUAAUACCGCAUAAUAUUAAUUAUUGCAUGAUAAUUGAUUGAAAGAUGCAAGCGCAUCACUAGUAGAUGGACCUGCGUUGUAUUAGCUAGUUGGUAAGGUAAGAGCUUACCAAGGCGACGAUACAUAGCCGACCUGAGAGGGUGAUCGGCCACACUGGGACUGAGACACGGCCCAGACUCCUACGGGAGGCAGCAGUAGGGAAACUUCGGCAAUGGACGAAAGUCUGAACGAGCAACGCCGCGGUAGGGAAGAAGGGUAUCGGAUCGUAAAGCUCUGUUGUAAGUCAAGAACGUGUGUGAGAGUGGAAAGUUCACACAGUGACGGUAGCUUACCAGAAAGGGACGGCUAACUACGUG